rnacentral:rRNA from 1 species
GAUGAACGCUGGCGGCGUGCCUAAUACAUGCGAGUCGAGCGAACAGACGAGGAGCUUGCUCCUCUGACGUUAGCGGCGGACGGGUGAGUAACACGUGGAUAACCUACCUAUAAGACUGGGAUAACUUCGGGAAACCGGAGCUAAUACCGGAUAAUAUAUUGAACCGCAUGGUUCAAUAGUGAAAGACGGUUUUGCUGUCACUUAUAGAUGGAUCCGCGCCGCAUUAGCUAGUUGGUAAGGUAACGGCUUACCAAGGCAACGAUGCGUAGCCGACCUGAGAGGGUGAUCGGCCACACUGGAACUGAGACACGGUCCAGACUCCUACGGGAGGCAGCAGUAGGGAAUCUUCCGCAAUGGGCGAAAGCCUGACGGAGCAACGCCGCGUGAGUUAUGAAGGUCUUCGGAUCGUAAAACUCUGUUAUUAGGGAAGAACAAAUGUGUAAGUAACUAUGCACGUCUUGACGGUACCUAAUCAGAAAGCCACGGCUAACUACGUG